AAUGAACGCUGGCGGCGUGCUUUACACAUGCAAGUCGAGCGAGGCGUCCCGCAAGGGAUAGUCGAGCGGCGAACGGGUGAGUAACGCGUGGAUUAUCUGCCCUGAGGUGGGGGAUAACCCGGGGAAACUCGGGCUAAUACCGCAUAUGACCGUGAGGUCAAAGGGGGGUCGCAAGAUCUCUCGCCAUAGGAGGAGUCCGCGUACGAUUAGCUAGUUGGUAGGGUAAUGGCCUACCAAGGCGACGAUCGUUAGCCGGCCUGAGAGGGUGAUCGGCCACACUGGAACUGAGACACGGUCCAGGCUCCUACGGGAGGCAGCAGUGGGGAAUUUUGCGCAAUGGGCUAACGCCUGACGCAGCAACGCCGCGUGGAGGAUGAAGGUCC
rnacentral:rRNA from 1 species